rnacentral:rRNA from 1 species
UACGGGGGAUGCGAGCGUUGUCCGGAUUCACUGGGCGUAAAGGGCGCGUAGGCGGCCCGGUCAGUCGGCGCUCUAAGUGCGGGGCUCAACCCCGUGAUGGCGCCGGGACGGCCGGGCUGGGGCGCGGCAGAGGGAGACGGAAUGCCGGGUGUAGUGGUGAAAUGCGUAGAGAUCCGGCGGAACACCGGUGGCGAAGGCGGUCUCCUGGGCCGAGGGCCGACGCUGAGGCGCGAAAGCCAGGGGAGCAAACGGG